CGAUGCCGCUUCAGUAGCGGACCAGAUUUCAAGCGUCACGGUUGGUCAGCGCUUAGCUUCGAAUACCUUAGCUAAGGGGAAGCAAGCAGAAAGAGACAGAGACAGAGACAGUAAAAGAUAUUCCUUGAGAGAGCAUCGCGUCAUGCAGUUCCAAUUGUAAAUUCAGAAAGUUGAAAUUGUUUGCUUUUUGUAAGCUAAACAAAAACUCGCACUUAAACACUCAUUUGGCAGCUCAGCUCGUCAAUCGCAGAUGUAGUUCGGAAACUGCAAGCAGCUAAAGGAAAACGGAAUACAACUUAAUAUCCAGAGC